AAGCUCGACAUGCUACGCCGUCUGGCGGAUGGCAAGGCUUGAGCGCUGAAGAAGGGCGCAGCCAACUGCGAAAAGCCUCGGGUAGACGCAUGCAGUCGUAGAACCGAGGAUGCCCGAAUGAGACUUCUCGUUGCGGUUCCUUCGGGAACCGUGACACUCCAGCGAUGGAGUGGGAACCCCCUGAACUGAAGCAUCUUAGUAAGGGGAGGAAAAGAAACCAACUGAGAUUCCCUUAGUAGCAGCGAGCGAACAGGGAAAAGUCCAAACUAAACCUCGCAGGGAAACUUGCGGGGGAUGUAGUGUUAUGGGCCCGGCCUCCUUCUCUCCAACAAAUUCGAAGUGGCCUGGAACGGCCUGCCAAAGAGAGUGAUAGCCUCGUAGAAGAAAGUUGGAAGGAGAUGGGCUGGAGUCCCCGAGUACCAUACCCCGGUUUAGGUAUGGGAAGCUAGGAGGCACCAACUCCUAAGACUAAAUACGUCUCAAGACCGAUAGCGCACUAGUACGGUGACGGAAAGUUGAAAAGUAUCCCGAAAGGGAGUUGAAAAGAGUCUGAAACCAGACGGUUACAGACGUUUGCAGCCCAGAAGGGUAGAUCCCUCCAGAAGGAAACCAUGGCGACAUGGCGGUACAACGGAGGGGGACCAGGGUUGCAUAUCCCGUCUCGAAACACGGGCCGGGGAGCUCAUUGUUGUGGCAAGCUUAAAGGUAAAAGCCUGAAAGCGUAGGGAAACCAAUAUGCGCGAAAUUGGCGUAAGCCAGUGAGGCGCAGGGUCUGAAAGGGCCUGGAGUCACAGCAGUGAAAGCUAGAAACCGAGCGAUCUAGUCCUGGGUAGGGCGAAGUCAGGCGAAAGCCUGGUGGAGGCCCGAAAGGGUGCUAACGUGCAAUUUGUUCCUCUGACCUGGGGCUAGGGGCUAAAGACCAAUCUAGCUCGGUGAUAGCUAGUUCCCUCCGAAGUGGGUCGCAGCCCAGUCUCGAGCGAGGCGACCAAUGGGGUAGAGCACUGACCGAAAAGUAAGGAGCCGAAAGGCUCCGCUUUUCCAUCAAACUCCGAAUCCAUUGGUGCCGUAGACCUCGGGAAGCGGGUUAUGGGGGGUAAGCCCCCAUGCCGAGAGCGGAACAACACAGACUGAGGUUAAGGCCCCCAAGUGCUGGCUAAACGUUAAAUCGAAGGGCGUCAUCAGCCCCAGACAGCGGGGAGGUAGGCUUAGAAGCAGCCACCCUUUAAAGAAAGCGUAACAGCUCACC
rnacentral:rRNA from 1 species